UGGUUCUGGCAUCGAUGAAGAACGCAGCGAAAUGCGAUAAGUAAUGUGAAUUGCAGAAUUCAGUGAAUCAUCGAAUCUUUGAACGCACAUUGCGCCCGCCAGUAUUCUGGCGGGCAUGCCUGUUCGAGCGUCAUUUCAACCCCUCAGGCCCUGGUGCCUGGCGUCGGGGCGUUCCCUCGCGGGAACCCCUUAGAAACAGUGGCGGGCCCGCCGCGGCUCCGAGCGUAGUAGUAAAAUUCUCGCUUUGGAGGUCCGCGGGGGGUUUUCCCGGCCGUUAAACCGGACUCUCUUGUCCACUUCUCAAGGUUGACCUCGGAUCAGGUAGGAAUACCCGCUGA
rnacentral:misc_RNA from 1 species